UAGGAGGUGGUAUGGCCUCGCCGUCGGUGAUGUAGACAACGGGAGAGUUGUCAAAUCAUCGGAAGUUGUCAUGCCGUUGACAAAGUUGACAGGUCCUAGGAAUUAAUUCUCGUCCUUAGCAGGACAGCGUCCCAGGCUUCCUGGCAGGGUAAUGCCCCCUGGCGUCCGUGCGGCGUUUACUUGAUGGGACUGCAGCCAACGCCGCUCAUCCGGCAUCUAGGAGGGCCUGUAGAGGUGGGACGACAGCCAUCCAAACCGAUAG
rnacentral:lncRNA from 1 species